AUUUAAUUUACAGUGACAUGUGGGCCCACGAAUGGCCAAAAAUAUCAAAAACGGUAAAUCUAUAGUUUUUGAGGAUGCAAGUCCAACUGUAGCCCUCAACGAAAUGAGCUAUCUACCGAUUAUCCUAAGCCUGAAAUGGGUGGAAAGGAGGGUGGUGAGAUUAUAUAAUCCCAAUCAGUAAACAAAUAUCAUCUAAAAUAUCUAAAGCUGAGUAAAUGGAGACAAAUAAAAUAGUUUAACAUAAAAAUGAUUCACAGCAUUUCGAACUCAUUUUAAUAAGAUAAAAUAGAUUCAUUUCACCCAAAUAAACAACGAGGCUUAUGAUUUCCUGAAAAGUUUAGCUCGUGCCAAAAUCAUUCUCAUACUCAGUUAACAAGGAUAUCUUGGCCUAGGGCUAUCCCAACCGAGUUCGCCAAGGCUGUUAAAAAGUCAUGUACGCAUAAAUCAUGUUUUUAUUUUGAAAACAUAGUCGUUCCUUGGCAUUGGCUGAGUUCACCCUCACGUGGUAAUUUGGCGUGAAGUGAACUCUAAAGUUGUACCUCGAGAAUUACCCUACGCGCCUCCCCAAUCGAGGUAAGAAUAUAAUAGGAUUCCGUGCCCCUCAAAAGGGCUGGCCCACAGAACCUGCCCACUGUAGCAAGCUAAACCCACCAUACAAUAAAAUUUGCAAUAGCAUGAUAUGGCAAUUAUUUUAUUUUACAGCCUCUCAAGGCAAAUCAAUAGUCCAUACAUUUUUAGCAUAUUUACCAAUUCAACCAUUCAUGCCAAUAUUAUCAUAAGCCAUUCAAUUCAAACCAUGAUUUUAAAACAGCAAUUAGUCUCCAAUAACUCCAUUUUCAAAACCAUCUUUCAAUUUCAAGAUAAUUUUAUAAAAUCAUUUCAUUUAAUCACAUUUUGCUUAUAAAACAUAAAGAUUUACCAUUUAAACUCAUUUUUCUAUCAAUUCACGAAAACGAAUAAACACUACUUUAGAUAAUUAAGACGAUAAUAAGGUUACUCACUAUUUCGAGAGUCUAAUUUCAAGUACUCUGAUUCUUGAUCCUCGGGUACUAUCUCUUUACUUUUGCCAGAAAGCUCACCACCUAGAUAUAAUGCACAAUAAACCAUUUACUACAUUUGUGCUAAAUCGUUGUAAAUCCAAUUCAAGCUUUAUACUAAUGCAUGAAAUGGGAUGUGAAAUACUUGGUUAACUAUCUAAAUACGGUGUUCAAUAUAAAUUCAAUUAUGUACCUAAAUAAAAUGGUAUUGGCCUAAUUCGAUCUAUCACUCGAUUAAUUGGCCAAUAUGUCCAAUUUAAUUCCAAUUAACUCCAUUUUUCUUCCAAUUCUCCAAACCAUCAAACACAAGUCAAAUAGCAUAAAAUUUAGCAAAAUCAUCUUCACAUUUUCUCUUGGGAAUUUCGGCCAUGGUGGGUGCAUCAAUACUAUGAUUUUUCCUACUUGAUUUUCUCACCGUAAUUCAUCAUUUCCUAACCAAUUCACUUGAAAGAAAAUCAAAAUUAUCAUCAAUAUUCCACAUGGAGAAUUCGGCCAAUGAGGGUUAUGGAAGAACAUAAAUUUUUCUUGCUUGAUUUUCAUACUACACAUCACCAAUCAACUAAAAACACUAGAAUACAUUGAAAUCUAACCAAAUCAAGUAUCAAAACCUCCCUCUAAGUGUUCGGCCAGCAAGGGAUUCAUCAUGAUUUCAUGUGAUUCAACCAUGAAAAAUAAGAAAAAAUGCUUAAGAAAGAGAGAUCUCAAGCUUAAUUGAAAAAAUCUUACCUUUUUUCACUUGUUUCCUUGAAUUUUCACACUUUUCCCUUGAAUAUUUCCACCUAGGGUUUUGUUCUUCCUUUUU
rnacentral:lncRNA from 1 species